rnacentral:rRNA from 1 species
CGUGCCUACGGGGCGCAGCAGUAGGGAAUUAUCGUCAAUGGGCGCAAACCUGAACGAGCAAUGCCGCGUGAACGAGGAAGGUCUUCGGAUCGUAAAGUUCUGUUGAAGGGGAAAAAGAGCGGAGAGAGGAAAUGAACUCCGAUUGAUAUUACCCUUCGAGGAAGUCACGGCUAAAUACGUGCCAGCAGCCGCGGUAAUACGUAUGGAGCAAGCGUUAUCCGGAUUUACUGGGUGUAAAGGGAGCGUAGGCGGCCCUGUAAGUCUGAUGUGAAAAUUUGGGGCUCAACCCCAAACGUGCAUUGGAA